CUGCAUGGCCGAAAGCCUCAGGUUUCUGGAGGAAGGUUCGUCCGCUCCAGGUUAGUCGGGAGCUAAGGUGAGGCCUAACGGCGUAGCCGAUGCACAGACGGUAGAGAUUCCGUCACCACCAAAAGAGUUAAACACAGGGACACAUUUGAAGUCUCGGAGCCGGGUGUUGGUUCCGGUAGCGAUCGAGGGAAAUUAGUACCGAAGUCCGGGAUGGAAGAUGGCGAGAAAAGCUGUGUGUAUUUCUGCGGUGCCCGUACCGCAAACCGACACAGGUAGGUAGGAAGAAGAUUCUAAGGCCAACGGGAGAAGGGUUGUUAAGGAACUUGGCAAAUUGACCCCGUAACUUCGGGAGAAGGGGUGCUCCAGAGAUGGAGCCGCAGAGAAUCGGCCCAAGCAACUGUUUACCAAAAACACAGGUUUGUGCUAAAUCGAAAGAUGACGUAUACGAGCUGACGCCUGCCCGGUGCUGGAAGGUUAAGAGGAGAUGUGCAAGCAUUGAAUCGAAGCCCCAGCGAACGGCGGCCGUAACAAUAACGGUCCUAAGGUAGCGAAAUUCCUUGUCAGGUAAGUUCUGACCCGCAUGAAAGGCGUAAUGAUUUGGGCACUGUCUCGACAGCCCGCCCGGCGAAAUUGUAGUACCGGUGAAGAUGCCGGUUACCCGCGACAAGACGGAAAGACCCCAUGGAGCUACUGUAGCCUAAUAUUGGGUUUCGAUGUUGCAUGCACAGGAUAGAUGGGACACUGGGAAGCAAGUGCUUUGGCAUUUGUGGAGUGGCCGUUGGGAUACCAUCCUUGCGAUAUUGGAAUUCUAGCCUGCGCCUUUGAAUCAAGGCGGGGGACAUUGUUAGGUGGGCAGUUUGACUGGGGCGGUCGCCUCCUAAAGAGUAACGGAGGCGUUCAAAGGUUCGCUCAGCUUGAACGGAAAUCAAGCAAAAGAGUGCAAACGCAGAAGCGAGCCUAACUGCGAGACUGACGGGUCGAGCAGUAACGAAAGUUGGAGUUAGUGAUCCGGUGGUAUGUGAGUGGAAAUGCCAUCGCUCAACGGAUAAAAGUUACCCUGGGGAUAACAGGCUGAUCUCCCCCAAGAGUCCACAUCGACGGGGAGGUUUGGCACCUCGAUGUCGGCUCAUCGCAUCCUGGGGCUGUAUUCGGUCCCAAGGGUUUGGCUGUUCGCCAAUUAAAGCGGUACGCGAGCUGGGUUCAGAACGUCGUGAGACAGUUCGGUCCCUAUCUGUCGUGGGCGCAGGAUAUUUGAUGGGAGCUGUUCCUAGUACGAGAGGACCGGAGCGGACGUACCUCUGGCGCACCAGUUGUUCUGCCAAGGGCAUAGCUGGGCAACUAUGUACGGAUCGGAUAAACGCUGAAAGCAUCUAAGCGUGAAGCCGACCCAAAGAUAAGAUAUCCCAUUGUUUCAAACAAGUAAGACCCCUUGAAGACUACAAGGUUGAUAGGCACGAUGUGUAAGUGGAGCGAUCCAUUCAGCAAGCGUGUACUAAUAGGUCGAGGGCUUGACC
rnacentral:rRNA from 1 species